UGCACCCAUCCUUUUGUGAUUGAGGUCUCCAGGACUGGACUCCGUACUCCAGGUCUCACCAUCUGUCUUCUGACUGUUUAUACCGCCAGCUUUACAGCCAAACUUUCCCCGUCCACAUUGUGUUUUAUCUCAGGACCCAUUGAUCCUUCUCUUCGGAAGUCUUGUGAUCCUCAGAUCGAGGUUCCUUCUCCCCAAGCGCACUGACCUGCAGUUUCCACUGUUUGGACCCUUUGUCCAGAGACAUUAUCAUUUCCUGUUUUCCCUCCAGGAACAUCAGCCCUAUUCCACAAACCUUCUGUGGUGUCUCCUACAUGACAGGCCCUUGCAGUCAUCACUUGUAACUUCUUAAUCCUCAGAAUCCACAUCAUAAACAUCAAGCCGCCGGUGUCUAUCAGCCGAUUGUGAAUCCACUGAAGAGUCAGGGGUCCACUGGACUAUCCCAUGAUUACGUCCAGUCAUCCAUCAGCUCGUUGUAGGACACUACAUUGAAGGCAGUCAUUUUCUUUUUGGAUGGUUUCGAUAAUUUUUGCUACUCCCGAUGUUAAGCACACCGGUCUGUAGUCUCCAGCUUCUUCUUGUGGAUGGGUACAUCGUUGGCCAUUCUUCUAGAACAUCAACCAUUAGGAAGGACUUGUUAAACAAACCAGUAAGAGAUCUCUGGGAGGAGGAACACCAUCAGGACCCAUUACCUUGUGUGAAGACUACCCCCGGGGUUUAGCGUACCUGACCGCAGUUAUGUCUUUUUUAUCCUCACGUGUCCAGAUGCUGUGCUCUAACAAACCAGCAGUAAAAUGUAUUGAAAGGACUCCUGAGGUCAGACACAGAAGAGGAGUCCUCUCAGUGCUUUUUAUUGCUGGUUUGUGGGGUGACCCCUUUAUGUAAUGUACGCAGAUAUCCCCUGACCCAACAGCACCGGGCAGUCACAUCCAGCCCUCCUGGGGGAGGACCAUGGCACAGUGGUGCCAAUGACACAAGUCACACCAAGAGUUGUCAGGUCUCGGUUUAUGGGCCCUGCCCCCGCACAGGCCAUAGACUACAAGGAGAAGACCAGGGGGUGGUGGAACCUAUGACAAAUCACACCCAGCACUGCAGGGUUGUCAGGUCUCGGUUUAUGGGCCCUGCCCCCGCACAGGCCAUAGACUACAAGGAGAAGACCAGGGAGUGGUGGAACCUAUGACAAAUCACACCCAGCACUGCAGGGUUGUCAGGUCUCGGUUUAUGUGCCCUGCCCCCGCACAGGCCAUAGACUACAAGGAGAAGACCAGGGGGUGGUGGAACCUAUGACAAAUCACACCCAGCACUGCAGGGUUGUCAGGUCUCAGUUUAUGUGCCCUGCCCCCGCACAGGCCAUAGACUACAAGGAGAAGACCAGGGGGUGGUGGAACCUAUGACAAAUCACACCCAGCACUGCAGGGUUGUCAGGUCUCGGUUUAUGGGCCCUGCCCCCGCACAGGCCAUAGACUACAAGGAGAAGACCAGGGGGUGGUGGAACCUAUGACAAAUCACACCCAGCACUGCAGGGUUGUCAGGUCUCGGUUUAUGUGCCCUGCCCCCGCACAGGCAAUAGACUACAAGGAGAAGACCAGGGGGUGGUGGAACCUAUGACAAAUCACACCCAGCACUGCAGGGUUGUCAGGUCUCGGUUUAUGUGCCCUGCCCCCGCACAGGCCAUAGACUACAAGGAGAAGACCAGGGGGUGGUGGAACCUAUGACAAAUCACACCCAGAGCUGCAGGGUUGUCAGGUCUCGGUUUAUGUGCCCUGCCCCCGCACAGGCCAUAGACUACAAGGAGAAGACCAGGGGGUGGUGGAACCUAUGACAAAUCACACCCAGAGCUGCAGGGUUGUCAGGUCUCGGUUUAUGUGCCCUGCCCCCGCACAGGCUAUAGACUUAAAUAAAACUCUCAUAAAUAGUAAAAACACCAGAAGGUAAGAAUUAAGCGAAUAUAUAAAAGAGAAGGUGCAGCAGCGCAGGGGGUCUCCACCCUCCACAGCACGGAUUGAGCUGUGAGACCCCCUGCAAUGUGGAGGUACCACCUCAUGGGGGCAGCACUGAGGAUAAGGCUAAAUAAAUACAUUGUCAUUGGGGGCUGUAGAGGGCGAUGCACCGUUCUGACCCGCUGCUGCACUUCUCAUUACAUGUAAAGUCAAUGCCCGGGCACAGGUCAGUUGGCACAGGAGGGGGGUGGGGUCCUUUCUUCUGGCACAGGUAACGUAGGCAGCAAACGCUUUUCAGUUUUUGGUCCAAGUUUACUCAACGCAGCAUGAAGAACAGCACAAAGUCCGUAAACCGUCAGUCUGCUCCAAAAAUACCAUCUAGGAAGUCGGGGAGACUGCACAUAAGGCGGUGUGAGGGGGGGCCCCCCACUUGUAACAUUCAUCGGGGGCUCCAGGCCCCCCAAUGUCCAAUAAUACAGUGUCCUGGACGCUCACGCAAGAGAGGUGGCAGCAAGUCCCAUCA